UACGGUUGCAAAGCUGAAACUUAAAGGAAUUGACGGAAGGGCACCACCAGGAGUGGAGCCUGUGGCUUAAUUUGACUCAACACGGGAAACCUCACCCGGUCCGGACACUGGAAGGAUUGACAGACUAAAGCUCUUUCUUGAUUCAGUGGGUGGUGGUGCAUGGCCGUUCUUAGUUGGUGGAGUGAUUUGUCUGGUUAAUUCCGAUAACGAACGAGACUCUCGCCUGCUAAAUAGUUUUCCAUACGUUACUUUAUGGAACCUAAAACUUCUUAGAGGUACAAGUGGCGUUUAGCCACACGAAACAGAGCAAUAACAGGUCUGUGAUGCCCUUAGAUGUCCGGGGCCGCACAUGUGCUACAAUGAAUGCAUCAACGUGUAUCAGCCUCGCCCGAAAGGGUUGGGGAAUCCGCUGAACGGCAUUCUCAGUAGGGAUUGGGGAUUGCAAUUAUUUCCCAUGAACACGGAAUUCCCAGUAGGCGCCAGUCAUCAGCUGGCGUCGAUUGAGUCCCUGCCCUUUGUACACACCGCCCGUCGCUACUACCGAUCGCUCUUGUUAAUGAGCUUGUCGGAUUGGACCCGGUGAGCAGUCGUUGCGCUYCAUCUCCUCGCGGGGUGGGCCUUCGUCUGCGAGCUUUUGGUGUAUGCCGAGAAGAUCGGCAAAUUAUCUGGAGUAGAGGAAGUAAAAGUCGUAACAAGGUAUCCGUAGGUGAACCUGCGGAUGNNNNNNNNNNAUAGAYACGAUAGGUGGAUGUCCGCGAGGGUUGCUUCUCGGUAGAAAGAUACAUACAAAAAGUAAAAGAGAAGCCGCCGAGUGGCGAGUUGUUGAAAGUAGCCC
rnacentral:rRNA from 1 species